UCGCCCAUUAAAGCGGUACGCGAGCUGGGUUCAGAACGUCGUGAGACAGUUCGGUCCCUAUCCGUCGUGGGCGUAGGAAAUUUGAGAGGAGCUGUCCUUAGUACGAGAGGACCGGGAUGGACAUACCUCUGGUGUACCAGUUGUCGUGCCAACGGCAUAGCUGGGUAGCUAUGUGUGGACGGGAUAAGUGCUGAAAGCAUCUAAGCAUGAAGCCCCCCUCAAGAUGA
rnacentral:rRNA from 1 species